GGAGAUUUAGCUCAGUGGUAGAGCGCUUGCCUAGGAAGCGCAAGGCCCUGGGUUCGAUCCCCAGCUCCG
rnacentral:tRNA from 1 species